CUUCUUGGUCAUUUAGAGGAAGUAAAAGUCGUAACAAGGUUUCCGUAGGUGAACCUGCGGAAGGAUCAUUAUAGAAUAAACUUGGUAGGGUUGUUGCUGGCUCCUUGGAGCAAUGUGCACGCUCUAACACCAAUUGUUUUUACCACCUGUGCACCUUUUGUAGAUCUCGGAAUAUACAUAUGUGAAAGCAUUGUAUUUCCUAGUCUACGUUUUCUAUAUACACCAUAUAAUUGUAAUAGAAUGUUGUUUCAAAAGAGGCUUUUUUUUGAAGUCUUUUUUAAUCAAAUACAACUUUCAACAACGGAUCUCUUGGCUCUCGCAUCGAUGAAGAACGCAGCGAAAUGCGAUAAGUAAUGUGAAUCGCAGAAUUCAGUGAAUCAUCGAAUCUUUGAACGCACCUUGCGCUCCUUGGUAUUCCGAGGAGCAUGCCUGUUUGAGUGUCAUUAAAUUCUCAAAAGUUUAAUCUUUUGGAUGUGGGAGUUUGCCGGCUUCUCAGAAGUCAAGCUCUCCUUAAUGUCAUUAGUAAAUGCUUACUGACUAUUCUCUGGGUGUGACAAUUAUCUACGCCAAUGGGAUAAAAGCGAGCUUUGCUUAUAACUGUCUAGUUUUAAUAGACAAUCUUGAAAAUCUGACCUCAAAUCAGGUAGGACUACCCGCUGAACUUAAGCAUAUCAAUAAGCGGAGGAAAGGG
rnacentral:rRNA from 1 species